CAUCAAUGAUGAUUUGCAUGUGAGUCCGUGUUUCAGCUGAAACUCAUGAUUACUCUUUCACUGCACUGAUG
rnacentral:snoRNA from 1 species